AACGAACGCUGGCGGCAUGCCUAACACAUGCAAGUCGAACGAGACCUUCGGGUCUAGUGGCGCACGGGUGCGUAACGCGUGGGAACCUGCCCUUAGGUUCGGAAUAACUCCCCGAAAGGGGUGCUAAUACCGGAUAAUGUCUUCGGACCAAAGAUUUAUCGCCUUUAGAUGGGCCCGCGUAGGAUUAGCUAGUUGGUGGGGUAAAGGCCUACCAAGGCGACGAUCCUUAGCUGGUCUGAGAGGAUGAUCAGCCACACUGGGACUGAGACACGGCCCAGACUCCUACGGGAGGCAGCAGUGGGGAAUAUUGGACAAUGGGCGAAAGCCUGAUCCAGCAAUGCCGCGUGAGUGAUGAAGGCCUUAGGGUUGUAAAGCUCUUUUACCAGGGAUGAUAAUGACAGUACCUGGAGAAUAAGCUCCGGCUAACUCCGUGCCAGCAGCCGCCGUAACAC
rnacentral:rRNA from 1 species